GAUACAAAAAUUCCACAUAUAAAUGAGUUUAAUGAAAUUUGCCAGGGGUUAACUGACAUUACCAAAAAUCCAAAAACUAGAAAUGUGAUAAGCAGUUGAACAACUUUAAUACUUCCUUUUUCUUUUUUAAAAACAAGGUUACUAAUAAUAGUUAUCACGUAGUCAACAUUUUUUACUGUGCAGUCUUAUGACAACCGUGGGAGGUAGAAAUUAUACCCAUUUUUCAGAGGAAAAAAAAUGAAGGUCAGAGUACCUAUGUUCAUAGUACAUUGCUGGAGGGCAAUCCAAAUCCCAU